GGCAGCGUGGCCUAAUGGUAAGGCGCUACUUUCCGGUGGUAGAGAUUGACGGUUCGAGUCCGCCCGUUGUCG